GGCUCUGGCAUCGAUGAAGAACGCAGCGAAAUGCGAUAAGUAAUGUGAAUUGCAGAAUUCAGUGAAUCAUCGAAUCUUUGAACGCACAUUGCGCCCGCCAGUAUUCUGGCGGGCAUGCCUGUUCGAGCGUCAUUA
rnacentral:rRNA from 1 species